rnacentral:rRNA from 1 species
UACAUGAAGCUGGAAUCGCUAGUAAUCGCGGAUCAGAAUGCCGCGGUGAAUACGUUCCCGGGUCUUGUACACACCGCCCGUCACACCAUGGGAGUCGGAAAUGCCCGAAGUCUGUGACCCAACCGAAAGGAGGGAGCAGCCGAAGGCAGGUCGGAUGACUGGGGUGAAGUCGUAACAAGGUAGC